GAAAAAGCACUCCCAUAGAAGAAGGAUUAAAACAUAAAUUUAAUUAACUCUACCCUAGCCUCCUCUCUCCUUUUAACAUUCUCUCUUUGCCUAACAUGCCCUCGGCGCCGUCUCCUGGGACUGAUUAGCCACCAUCUCCACCAUCAAACUCCACAACCACCACACCCUCUUCUUCUCCUCCGCCGCCACCCACUAUUCCCACAUUUCCUCCUCCGUCUUCUUCCUCUACACCUUCUGCUCUUCAUCCAUCUCCACCCACUCUAUCUACGCCGGGAUCUUCACCUCCUCUUCCUCAGUCGUCUCCACCCGCUCCAACUACACUGGGAUCUCCUCCCGCACCUGUCACUCCUCCUGGAUCCCCUACUCUAAACUCUCCAUCAUCCUCAGGACCACCGUCCAAUCCCUCAAGUGGCGGCGGCGGAGGACCUCCUCGAACUCCAUCUUCGCCAUCUCCGCCGUCUCCGCUGUCUCCGCCGUCUUCUUCUUCCGAUGGAUUAUCAGCAGGAGUGGUGAUCGGAAUCGCCAUCGGAGGAGUCGCUCUGCUUGUAAGAAGAAACGAAGAAGAGACGAAGAAGAUGCUUACUACGUUCCUCUUCCACCUCCUCCUGGUCCCAAAGGUAUAAGCUUUAUGGAAAUGAUAAUUAAUUUGUUAGAAAGUUUCAAUGUUUUUGUCGAUUUUCAACGUAUCUGAUUUUGAGAUUUGGAAUGUUCUUGCGUUUCUCAGCAGGAGGACCUUACGGUGGACAACAGCAACAAUGGCGGCAACAAAACGCAACACCACCGUCAGUUCAUGUCGUGACGUCACUACCACUACCACACAUCAUAUCACGUUCUAUAUUGGUACGGGCUUAAUAAUGCAAAAAACUCAAGACAAAAUAAGAAGACAGCCCAACAGAUUGGGGGAAAAAGUUAAUGAAACGGUGGAUUUCAUUUGACAGGUACACGUGUCAGCACUACGUUAAACGACUUAAUGAUGUGGCAUCCUAGGUGUCUUCAACAUGAGGGAGGAAAACUCUUAUUUAUAUAUAUAGAUUAUAGAGAAGAAUAUAUCUAUUUUAAAACUUGAAUUAUUAAAUUCAAGAACUUAGAGGAACAAUAUUUUCAGUAUAAUAUAAAACUAUAAUUGGUAAGUCCACAUAAAUUUUAAAAUUAAUAAAUAUAAUACGAAUUAAUUUUUCUAAAAUAAUUAAAAUGAGAAGAUUGAAAAAUAUGUCAACAAAACGGAGCAAAAUCUGGUAUCUGAAGAAACAAAUUGAGAGAAUAAAAUGAAGAGAGCAGGCAUGUUUUAAUUCUUAAAUUCAGAAUAAGAAGAAGAAGAAGGAGAAGAAGAAACAAAUCACAUUAUAAUUUAUAAUUUUAAAUACUUCUAAAUCCACUAUUUUUAAUUUCAUUUACUUUUUCAUUUAUGUUAUCAAUCUUAUAAGACAACAAAGCUUCAUCCCUAUAAAGUAUAUAUAUGUAACCACAAAGUCUACACAUGCAUCUUCUUUCAAGCUAUAAAAAAAAUAGUUCAUUUGAAAGAUAGAUAUGAUUCGAUUUAAAGAUAUAGUUUUUCAAGCAAAGAGAAUAGUCAGUGAGAAAAUAUCGCGUUUGAGGUAUAUAAUUAACUUACGUAAGGGUCACUUCGCAGUAUACGUUGGAGAAGAAGAAGAAAAGACGAAAAGAUUUGUGGUUCCAAUCUCUUAUUUGAAAUAUCCUUUGUUCCAAGCUCUCUUGCGUCAAGCCGAAAAUGAAUUUGGCACAGAUCACUCGACGAAAUAUCUUACGAUCCCUUGUGCUGAAGAUGUCUUUAUUGACGUCACUUCUCGUCUAAAACCGAAUUUAAGUACUAGUAUUUAUUUGGUUUGAUCAUCAUUUUGGUAUAUAUAUAUAGUAUAUAUAUUUAUUAAUUAUUAUUGUUAGCGUGAGCGACAGUAAAUCGAAACCUAAAUGUAUAAAAUAAAUAAGUGAGAAAUUGGCUGGAAAUAUGUAAUGUUCUUAUAAAUAUUAAAAAUAUUUAGCUCCUCUUUAAGUUGUUUCCAGAUCAAAAAUUAAUUACUUCCAUAAAUAUAACUUGUAGAAAAGGCCAGCUGAGGUCUCAUGGAAUAGUUAAGAAAAUACAAGAUUUUUGAGGAAGUGUUUUUUUUUUUACAAAUAGAAUGGUUAAAAUAACUCGCAAAAUCUUUAAGAUCCAAAAUUGAAAGAGACUCACUUAUACACAAUAUCUCAAUCUCGAGUAAUUUUCUCUCGACUUCCUUAGAUACAUUUAAAGAAAAUACACAAAAUAUGUGUAUAAGAAUACGGAGAGGAUUGGUGUUGGCUGUGAGUGCUCUACAUAGCCAUAAUUCUCUAUAGAGCAAUAAAAUCAAAGCAAUCAAGCUUUAUUAAUAAAAACUAAAGCUAGAGCCCAAAAUCUUUAAAAUGAAAUAUAAUGCCUCUAGAAAUCAAUUUUUCUACGGCUUUAAGUUUAGUGUUUUUAAAACUUUGAAAUAAAAUUUAAAGGUAAAGCCACAAAAUCUACAGCUUAAAUCUUAAAGCAAAAAAUCCAAAGCUACAGCCUCUACCAAUCAAUCCCAUAAUGAAUAUUGUGAUGAUCAGUGAGCUCCAUAUCAUGAACCACUUAGAACCGAAGCUAGAGAAGUGAAGUAAUCUUCAGUGCAAGGAAUGGUUAAACCUCCCAUCGGAUGGUCAAACCCAAACUCUUCUUCUGCGAGGUUCAACAAACCUUGGAACAAUGGAUGGUUUAAAUAUGAUAUAAUAGGUAUCACGAAUCUCUUCCUUUGGUAAGUCUCCCCCACGUAGACGGCCACAUGACCCUUUGGGACAUUAUUAGUACCCGACAUGGCCAAGAGGCUUGCGAGUGUUGCUGAUAAGCUUCUUUGAAGCUUUUGCUUGGCAUGAGAUAGUCCAAUCAAUUGAAUACCCAUCCCUUGACUGCGUCCCAUACCUUCUUAGCCGUCUCUAGCUCCCCAACUUGUAGAAUUAAUGCUUCCGGGAUUGAUUGAAACAAUAAGGCUAAUGCCAUAUCGUUUUUCUCGGGUUCGGUAGAUUCAUUCUCCACUACCGUCCAUACUCUAUGAACUUUAAGCAAGGUUUUCAUGCGUAUCGCCCAUACAGUAUAGUUGGUAGUGCUUAGCAUCGGACACUUUAUCGAGGAUGGUCCUCCUCCUUCUUUGGGUGUUGUCGUAACUAUAUCUCCCAUGGUUGCUUCUUCUUGCUUCUGGCUCUGAUACCAAAUAUAGUCUCAAACGAUUAUGUAAGAACACAAAUAAAGAACUCUCUUUAUUAAUCUAUCUUAAGGAAACACUCAAAAACCUUAAGCUCCUCAAACACAAUCACUCAAAACUCACACACAAUAUGCAACACUCUUGCAUAUAUAUAUAUAGAGAUUAUAACUCCUAAACUCAUUAGGAAUACAUCUUUCCUUUUUCUCUAAUCCUAAACUCUUUAGGAUAACUUAGAUUCCAAGUUAUCUUUAAGCUUACCAACAUUUGUGAGAUAACAAACUAAGUCCCACAUUGGAGAAUUAGACAAGGAGUGUCUAAUAUAUAAAGAGAUGUCCAACUCUAAUUAGUACGAGGCCUUUUGGAAAGGAAUCCCAAAAAUAAAUCCAUGCGGACCAACCAAUUAGGCCCAAAGUGGACAAUAUCGUACUAAUCGGAUAAUAUAGAGUUGGACAUGGAUUUAAUAAAUCCCAACAAUUGGUAUCAGAGUGGUUGACAAGAAAUUUGCAAGAAGACCAAAAUACCCUUCGAGUAGGAACGAGACCCAUCGAGUUAGGAUUGGGAGGUAUGUGUGGCAGAGAUCAAGUCAAAAGAUCCUGGAAGUCAGUUGUGGAACAUGAGAUGAAUGUGAUCCUUAGUUUGAGGGGGAGAAUGUGAGAUAACAAAUUAAGUCUCACAUUGGAGAAUUAGACAAUGAGUGUCUAAUAUAUAAAGAGAUGUUCAACUCUAAUUAGUACGAGGCUUUUUGGAAAGGAAUCCCAAAAAUAAAUCCAUGCUGACCAGCCAAUUAGACACAAAGUGGACAAUAUCGUAUUAAUCGGAUAAUAUAGAGUUAGACAUGGAUUUAAUAAAUCCCAACAAUGCUGUGAUGUUCUACUUCUUUCUUGUUUUUGUUUUUGUUUCUUUUAAUCCAUGAUAAAAUUUUGUUUCUUUUCAUCCAUGAUAAUAUAGCAGAAGAUCGAUGGCCAAAUAAAAAGAAAAAAUGGUAGAGGAUUCAACAUUUAUUGUUUCUGGCCCUAAAAGUCUUUAUUAAAUGCAUAGUUUAGUCAACAUCGCAUUUUGGCAAGAUCGAUUGUCAUACCACAGUUUUUUUUUUCCACAAAAGGAAAUCAAAAGUGAUUUUGGCAUGUGUUCAAUUCCUCAAUCUAUGAACUUUUAAUUAGAGAAAAAGAAACAAAAUUAAGAAAAAACUUUAUUUGUGACUGAGUGAUAUUCAGAGAAAAUAUCUCAUAAAAAUUUCUCUUCUAACAUUUUUAUCUUCUUAAAAAUUCCCAAUCAGUGAAGUUGGAAAUUUUUAAUAACUUAAAAUACAUAAAGGUACAUUAAUCGUAUCCUUCCUUGAAAAUAAUAACAGUAAACAAUUAUUUGUUUCCAAAUUUAAACUGUUGUAAAAACUGUUAAAUGGAAAAUACGCGUUUAUAAAAUUAAAACAUAGAAAGAAAUAACGCGGAUGAAUCGUGUGGGACCCCAUAACAGCUCCAUUGUCCGAAAAAGCACUCCCAUAGAAGAAGGAUUAAAACAUAAAUUUAAUUAACUCUACCCUAGCCUCCUCUCUCCUUUUAACAUUCUCUCUUUGCCUAACAUGCCCUCGGCGCCGUCUCCUGGGACUGAUUAGCCACCAUCUCCACCAUCAAACUCCACAACCACCACACCCUCUUCUUCUCCUCCGCCGCCACCCACUAUUCCCACAUUUCCUCCUCCGUCUUCUUCCUCUACACCUUCUGCUCUUCAUCCAUCUCCACCCACUCUAUCUACGCCGGGAUCUUCACCUCCUCUUCCUCAGUCGUCUCCACCCGCUCCAACUACACUGGGAUCUCCUCCCGCACCUGUCACUCCUCCUGGAUCCCCUACUCUAAACUCUCCAUCAUCCUCAGGACCACCGUCCAAUCCCUCAAGUGGCGGCGGCGGAGGACCUCCUCGAACUCCAUCUUCGCCAUCUCCGCCGUCUCCGCUGUCUCCGCCGUCUUCUUCUUCCGAUGGAUUAUCAGCAGGAGUGGUGAUCGGAAUCGCCAUCGGAGGAGUCGCUCUGCUUGUAAGAAGAAACGAAGAAGAGACGAAGAAG
rnacentral:lncRNA from 1 species